rnacentral:tRNA from 2 species
GGGCGAUUAGCUCAGUUGGUUCAGAGCAUCUGCCUUACAAGCAGAGGGUCGGCGGUUCGACUCCGUCAUCGCCCACAA